UUCAUUGGACACUUUUCAUAAGUGCUGCUAUGUGACAAGCAAUAGGUAGAGGAAAACAAAGAAACUCCAGCUGCUAUGGAAUGUAAGAGAAAAGCUCACUUGCAACAGGAUUUAUCUGGAGCAAACUAAAAAUCAGUACUAGAACUAUUAGGUAAAUUUGAAAGAGAAAUUAAACUUUUAAAAUUGACUGUAGGAAGUUUUGAAAAGUUUUAUAUGCUGGGUAUGAGAUAGUUGUAUCCUCUCAGUCAGCAAAUAUUGACCAGGAUUUCACCUUUCUCUUCUGUCAGGCAUGAUACUCAUCUCCUUCCCACCAUGCUGUGUCAGCCGUGCCACACUACUUAUAUCCUUAGAGACAGACUUCUUUAUUCUGAUAAAUUUAUGAUAUCCAGUAGUUUCGUGAUGUGUGUGACUGGCUCUUUCCUACUUUAGGCAUAUGUUCAAUUUUCUCUUCUGGCAUCUUCAGUGUCUGGUCUGCGCUUGGUCAAGGAGUAAUUUUGUGAAUUUGCAGAAUUCUUCAUUGACAGCCAUUUGUUCCUCUUGGAUCUGUCCCCUGCUCACCUCCCAACAGAACUCCUCCUCCUUCUGCCUCUUCCCAAACCUACACCAGAGAUUUUCUGUCAAGGCUAAUGGAUUGAGUAUUCACAUCCUAUUGCUUCAAUCAUGUGCUCCCUCCGCAGCUCUGUUUCCCCCUGUAAUUCCACUUCUCUGCCAUGUAAACUCAAGUCUAAAUACAGGGGCUAAACUUCCUGGCAUUGUCCCCAUUAGUCUCAUGGUAUUGAAAACUGAUACUGAGGACCUGAAAGGAUGCAUCAGAACUGCUACUGAGGGAGUGGAUUGCUGAUGUGACAGAAACUGCUGCAUAUGAAAAGGUGAUAUAUGGAAUGGAAAGUAAGCCAGAUGAAUUUGAAGGUAUUUGUAAUCUAUUCUCCAGCUGCAUCAGAAGAGAUGUCCUGAAAUAUGAUAGAAGAUAGUGGAGAGAGGUUGAAGGGUGAAUGAAAGCUUUUGUUUCAAAAGCAGAAGAGGACUGCAAACCUUCUUUCACACAGUAAAUCCUGGCUCACUUCCUGCCCUUGGAAAAGAUUAUUUCAAUACCUGUGAACAUGUGCAUUACAAGAGACAGGCUUCCUCCUUCCUGUAUCGAAAACUGAGCUCUGAAUAUUUCUCUGGGAACCUCAAGCAUGGAGAAUUAGCACAUUGAACAAAGAAUGUCUUCCUGCCCCUGAAAGAAAAAAGGAGUUGACUGAGGUAGCACCAGUGUUACAGGCUGAGGACUAGCUCCUCAUGGCUCAGAAGCAAAAGAGAGAAAUGAAGCCAAAGCCUCCUACAGCAAAUUUUGCCCUACCUCUUUUCUCCCUUUCCAGUACCAAACUGUAUUGUCUUAAUCUGGGAAUGUGAUUUACUUGUGAAAUAUCUAGUGGGUGGCAGAGGUGGGGAGCAAUGCUGCACAAAGCUCCCCAGAGCUGCUGACCGAGGUAAAUAGUGUGUCAUAACACAUUUAUCAAAUAAUAAUGGAAACCAUAUAGAACACAUAGGAGAGGGAGGGGGAAACCCCACUCCCCACUGGGAAGUUACUGAAUAUUUCAGCCAGUUUAUAAAAGGAUGUGUACAUGUAUUUGGAAAGGGGGAGGUUUUUCUAGCUUCACCUCUGCAAAUAAAUCAUUGGCCUGGGAUGUCUGAGCAGACAAGUGAAAUGGAUGAGCACAUUAUAGAUCAAGGAGGUGGUAUUCCUGCCUUGGUUAGUUUGAGACAGACCACCCAAGCACUGUGGGACUAAGAUGAGACUGUAAGUUGUGCCUGUAGAGUUCUGAAAGGCCCAAGCUGCAGCCUCUGACAUGGCAUGAAGGUGGGGGAUAAAAUAAAAUUGGUGGUAUUUCUCAUAUAGCGGGCAUGACUUAUCUGAACUGAUGUUGUUCCUAGUAUUAUUUUUUCCUUUGGCUGGAUUGCCCCAAUAGAGAAAAUGAGAAAGAGAAAAAGUGGCAAAGGUGUAAUAGUUAUGCCUGUUUUGAAAAUAAGUUAAAGUUUAGGUCAAAUAAAAAGUAAAAAAAAUAAAAAUUUAUUGAUCUUGUAUUUGUACAUUAUUCUCUGUUUGCCUAUAGUGACUUUCAGAAUACAGAAACCAUAGUCAGAUACUCUCACAGAAAUUAAGAAUUUUGCAUCAUAACUGGUCUAUUGAAGUCAUCAAGAAUUACUUAUGGAAAAAGACACCCAUUCCACAUGAAUAGGGCUUACAGAGCAUGGAUGAGUAUUACCAAAAAAUUCCCAAAUUAAAAGAAGUCUGACAAAGAUGGUAUCCUUAUAAAUAUAUGUAUAGUUAACACUUUGGAAUUUUUGCAAGGAAGACGUAGAUAUGAGGUUUGGAAUGAUCAUCUUUAACAAGGAAACCUCUUAGAGUGAAACUGAUCACCUUUUUAUACUUAUACAUGGCAAUAGUGGUUAAAGGCUGCAGUGCACAUACAGUAUUGAAUUAGAUGAAUUUUAGGUUGUAAGGAAGCAAGGCAGGAAGCAUAGAAAAUUAUCC